rnacentral:rRNA from 1 species
GACGAACGCUGGCGGCGUGCUUAACACAUGCAAGUCGAACGGAAAGGCCCCUUUGGGGGUACUCGAGUGGCGAACGGGUGAGUAACACGUGAGUAACCUGCCCUUGACUUCGGGAUAACUUCAGGAAACUGGGGCUAAUACCGGCUAGGAAUCCUUGCUGCAUGGUGGGGGUUGGAAAGCUUCGGCGGUUUUGGAUGGACUCGCGGCUUAUCAGCUUGUUGGUGGGGUAGUGGCUUACCAAGGCUUUGACGGGUAGCCGGCCUGAGAGGGCGACCGGCCACAUUGGGACUGAGAGACGGCCCAGACUCCUACGGGAGGCAGCAGUGGGGAAUAUUGCACAAUGGGCGGAAGCCUGAUGCAGCAACGCCGCGUGCGGGAUGACGGCCUUCGGGUUGUAAACCGCUUUCAGCAGGGGCGAAGCUUGUGGUGACGGUACCUGCAGAAGAAGCACCGGCUAACUACGUG